GACGAACGCUGGCGGCGUGCUUAACACAUGCAAGUCGAACGGAAAGGCCCUGCUCUUGUGGGGUGCUCGAGUGGCGAACGGGUGAGUAUCACGUGAGUAACCUGUCCCUGACUUUGGGAUAACUCCAGGAAACUGGGGCUCAUACCGGAUAUGAGCUCCUUCUGCAUGGUGGGGGUUGGAAAGAUUCGGCGGUUGGGGAUGGACGCGCGGCCUAUCAGCUUGUUGGUGAGGUAGUGGCUUACCAAGGCUUUGACGGGUAGCCGGCCUGGGAGGGUGACCGGCCACAUUGGGACUGAGAUACGACCCAGACUGCUACGGGAGGCAGCAGUGGGAAAUAGUGCACAAUGGGCGGAAGCCGGAUGCAGCGACGCCGCGUGCGGGAUGACGGCCUUCGGGUUGUAACCCGCUUUCGCCUGUGACGAAGCGUGAGUGACGGUAAUGAGUAAAGAAGCACCGGCUAACUACGUG
rnacentral:rRNA from 1 species